rnacentral:rRNA from 1 species
GUAAUGUUCUGAAGGUACCAUACGAAUAAGCAUCGGCUAACUCCGUGCCAGCAGCCGCGGUAAUACGGAGGAUGCGAGCGUUAUCCGGAUUUAUUGGGUUUAAAGGGUCCGUAGGCGGGUUGAUAAGUCAGCGGUGAAAACCUGCAGCUUAACUGUAGAACUGCCGUUGAUACUGUUAAUCUUGAAUAGUAUUGAAGUAGCUGGAAUGUGUAGUGUAGCGGUGAAAUGCAUAGAUAUUACACAGAACCCCGAUUGCGAAGGCAGGUUACUAAAUACCGAUUGACGCUGAUGGACGAAAGCGUGGGGAGCGAACAGGAUUAGAUACCCUGGUAGUCCACGCCGUAAACGAUGGAUACUCGUUGUUGGGGGUAAGCCCUCAGUGACUAAGCGAAAGUAAUAAGUAUCCCACCUGGGGAGUACGACCGCAAGGUUGAAACUCAAAGGAAUUGACGGGGGCCCGCACAAGCGGUGGAGCAUGUGGUUUAAUUCGAUGAUACGCGAGGAACCUUACCAGGGCUUAAAUGGGAAUUGACGUACUUAGAAAUAAGUAUUUCUACGGACAAUUUUCAAGGUGCUGCAUGGUUGUCGUCAGCUCGUGCCGUGAGGUGUCAGGUUAAGUCCUAUAACGAGCGCAACCCUUAUCAUUAGUUGCCAGCGAUUAAAGUCGGGAACUCUAAUGAGACUGCCGGUGCAAACCGCGAGGAAGGUGGGGAUGACGUCAAAUCAUCACGGCCCUUACGCCCUGGGCCACACACGUGCUACAAUGGCCGGUACAGAGGGCAGCUACUGGGCAACCAGAUGCGAAUCUCAAAAGCCGGUCUCAGUUCGGAUUGGAGUCUGCAACUCGACUCUAUGAAGCUGGAAUCGCUAGUAAUCGCAGAUCAGCCAUGCUGCGGUGAAUACGUUCCCGGGCCUUGUACACACCGCCCGUCAAGCCAUGGAAGCUGGGGGUACCUGAAGUCGGUGACCGUAAAAGGAGCUGCCUAGGGUAAAACUAGUGACUGGGGCUAAGUCGUAACAAGGUAGCCGUACCGGAAGGUGCGGCUGGAACAUCUCUUUUUUAGA